UGGGGAAUCUUGCACAAUGGGGGAAACCCUGAUGCAGCGACGCCGCGUGAACGAUGAAGCCCUUCGGGGUGUAAAGUUCUUUCGACAGGAACGAUAAUGACGGUACCUGGAGAAGAAGCUGCGGCUAACUACGUGCCAGCAGCCGCGGUAAUACGUAGGCAGCGAGCGUUGUUCGGAGUUACUGGGCGUAAAGAGUGCGUAGGCGGCGAGCCAAGUUUGGUGUGAAAUCUCCCGGCUUAACCGGGAGGGUGCGCCGAAAACUGGUUGGCCGGAGUAUGGGAGAGGAAAGCGGAAUUCCUGGUGUAGCGGUGAAAUGCGUAGAUAUCAGGAGGAACACCUGCGGUGUAGACAGCUUUCUGGACCAAAACUGACGCUGAGGCACGAAAGCGUGGGUAGCAAACA
rnacentral:rRNA from 1 species